UAGGGAAUAUUGGUAAUCUGGGAAACCGGGAACCAGCAACGCCGCGUGCGCGAUGAAGGCCUUCGGGUUGUAAAGCACUUUUUGAGAGGAUGAGGAAGGACGGUACUCUCAGAAUAAGUCUCGGCUAACUACGUGCCAGCAGCCGCGGUAACACGUAGGAGGCAAACGUUAUCCGGAUUUACUGGGCGUAAAGCGCGUGUAGGUGGUUUGGUAAGUAGAGCGUGAAAGCUCCUGGCUCAACUGGGAGAGGUCGUUCUAAACUGCCGGACUAGAGGAUGGUAGAGGGAGGUGGAAUUCCGGGUGUAGCGGUGGAAUGCGCAGAUAUCCGGAGGAACACCAGUGGCGAAAGCGGCCUCCUGGACCACUCCUGACACUCAGACGCGAAAGCUAGGGUAGCAAACG
rnacentral:rRNA from 1 species